AUUGAACGCUGGCGGCAGGCUUAACACAUGCAAGUCGAGCGGAGCGAGGGUGCUUGCACCUUAGCUUAGCGGCGGACGGGUGGGUAAUGCUUAGGGAUCUGCCUGUUAGUGGGGGACAACAUUCCGAAAGGAAUGCUAAUACCGCAUACGCCCGACGGGGGAAGGCAGGGGAUCUUCGGAACUUGCGCUAAUAGAUGAGCCGAAGUCGGAUUAGCGAGUUGGUGGGGUAAAGGCCUACCAAGGCGACGAUUUGUAGCGGGUCUGAGAGGAGGAUCCGCCACAGUGGGACUGAGACACGGCCCAGACUACUACGGGAGGCAGCAGUGGGGAAUAUUGGACAAUGGGCGGAAGCCUGAUCCAGCCAUGCCGCGUGUGUGAAGAAGGCCUUUUGGUUGUAAAGCACUUUAAGCGAGGAGGAGGCUACUUAGAUUAAUACUCUGGGAUAGUGGACGUUACUCGCAGAAUAAGCACCGGCUAACUCUGUGCCAGCCGCCGCGGUAACAC
rnacentral:rRNA from 1 species